rnacentral:rRNA from 1 species
GACGAACGCUGGCGGCGUGCUUAACACAUGCAAGUCGAACGGAAAGGCCCUGCUUUUGUGGGGUGCUCGAGUGGCGAACGGGUGAGUAACACGUGAGUAACCUGCCCUGGACUUUGGGAUAACUUCAGGAAACUGGGGCUAAUACCGGAUAGGAGCGCCUGCUGCAUGGUGGGGGUUGGAAAGUUUCGGCGGUUGGGGAUGGACUCGCGGCUUAUCAGCUUGUUGGUGGGGGAGUGGCUUACCAAGGCUUUGACGGGUAGCCGGCCUGAGAGGGUGAACGGCCACAAUGGGACUGAGAGACGGCCCAGACUCCUACGGGAGGCAGCAGUGGGGAAUAUUGCACAAUGGGCGGAAGCCUGAUGCAGCGACGCCGCGUGCGGGAUGAAGGCCUUCGGGUUGUAAACCGCUUUCGCCUGUGACGAAGCGUGAGUGACGGUAAUGGGUAAAGAAGCACCGGCUAACUACGUG